UUCUUCUUCUUCUUUUGUUACUUGUUUACUCGGAGGAGUUUCUGAUAAUACGGGAUCUGGCAUUGCUCAACGGUUAGGUAAGAUUGUGAAUUUGACUACUUUAUGACCAUGGGAUUCCUACUUUUGUGCUUAUGCUGACAUAAUUUCACGUUUGUUUACAGUGUUAAAGACUGGCCUCAAUAUAAUCUUGGCUUGUAAUAUUCCUAAGAACAGUCCCAUGCUUGAGGUUCUCUGUUUCUCUCUAUCACACACACAUUAAUGCAUGUGAAAACAGCUCUGUGUAUGAAGAGCAAUGGAGAAAUCAAGUUAAUCAACCGCUGGAUUUCAAAAAGAUACUGACAGAUGCUCACUUGUCACUUUCGGGAGUUUCACUCAAUAGUUUUAAUCCAGCUGUUGAAAGCUAAAGCUGACAUGAGCCUUAACCUCUUUUUCAACUUUACUCUUAUAGCGAUCCAUUUGUGCAAAAUCUAUCGAAUAAUGUGGUUGAUUUGGAGGGUUACUUGUUAGUUAAUCAUUGUUUAAAGUUAUCUAAACGAGACAAGAGAGCCAAAUGCCUUUCCAUUGUUCAUAGUUGUUGAUUUUCAUAGAAUCUGUAAUUUUGCAUUAUUGUCAUUUGAGGGAUGAAUGUUUGCUUGGUGAUUGACUACAUAAUGGAAUUCGCCUAUCUUAUGUAUGUAUGAUUCAGCAUACCUGAAGUUCUGUUCAUUGAUUUUUCUUUUUCCCUCUCUUUGUGUUAUUAGGCAAAUGCUUUGGGCUAUACAAACCCAAAAUCCAAAGGAUUAUCUUCAUAGCAGGGAGCUGGAAGGAUCCUCCAAUAUGAUGGUGCACGCCCCCCAUUAGAGUGGUUGAUAUUGCACAAUACGACAGAAUUGUUGAAGAUAUAGAUCAACUAAGGGAGCUUUGAUGGAUAAAGCUUCUAGCUGCUUCAUGUUUUUGCUGCUGAUUUGAAUAGUUCAACAGUAGAUCAUAGGAUAUGACAGAGAAUUCUUCUAGGUUUGUGAAUUAUUUAGCACAUUAUGUGAAGUUUAUGCUUGACUAUGCUGUUUGACUUUAGCUUUCUGCUUUCAUUAUGAGCGUUGCUGGCGCAAACUGUCCUGUACUUUGUUCUCCCAGUUGCAAUAUGAAUGCUAUUGAGUGGAGAAUCGACAUUUAACUUGUGAAAUUUAUUAGGCUCUUAGGCUUUUGAAUUGUAUAUGGUUAUUUCUU
rnacentral:misc_RNA from 1 species